GAUGAAGAACGUAGCGAAAUGCGAUAAGUAAUGUGAAUUGCAGAAUUCAGUGAAUCAUCGAAUCUUUGAACGCACCUUGCGCCCUUUGGACAUUCCGAAGGGCAUGCCUGUUUGAGUAUCAUGAACACCUCAACUCUCACGGCUUGUCCGUGAUGAGCUUGGACUUUGGGGGUCUUGCCGGCCUGUGGUCGGCUCCUCUCAAAUGGAUCAGCUUGCCAGUGUUUGGUGGCAUCACAGGUGUGAUAACUAUCUGCGCUUGUGGUUUUCCAUCAGAUAACCUUCAGUGAUAUGGAGGUUCGCUGGAGCUCACAAAUGUCUCUCCUUAGUGAGGACAGCUCUUUUAACGUUUGAUCUCAAAUCAGGUAGGACUACCCGCUGAACUUAAGCAUAUCAAUAAGCGGAGGA
rnacentral:misc_RNA from 1 species